rnacentral:rRNA from 1 species
UAGGUAAAUCCGUUAGUCACACAUUCUGAGACAUGAUGCCGAGCCGCUUUUAGGCGAAGUCAUUGAUUCCAUACUUCCAAGAAAAACUUCUAGUUAGUUUUUUUAGUGCCCGUACCCCAAACCGACACAGGUGGACAAGUAGAGAAUACUAAGGCGAGCGAGAUAACUCUGGUUAAGGAACUCGGCAAAAUAGUUCCGUAACUUCGGGAGAAGGAACGCCCAAGUAAAGUGAUUAAUUAACUUUAUGAGCUUGAACGGGCCGCAGUGAUCAGACUCAAGCGACUGUUUAUCAAAAACACAGGAGGGUGCAAAGUUCUAAUACAACGUAUACCCUCUGACACCUGCCCGGUGCUGGAAGGUUAAGUGGAGAGGUUAGCUUCGGCAAAGCUUUGAAAUUAAGCCCCAGUAAACGGCGGCCGUAACUAUAACGGUCCUAAGGUAGCGAAAUUCCUUGUCGGGUAAGUUCCGACCUGCACGAAUGGUGUAACGAUUUGAGUACUGUCUCAACCAGAGACUCGGCGAAAUUGCAAUGUGAGUAAAGAUGCUCACUAUGCGCGACAGGACGGAAAGACCCCGGAACCUUUACUGCAACUUGAUAUUGAAGUUUGGUGUGCAGUAUGCAGGAUAAGUGGGAGACUAUGAAAUAGCGGCGCUAGUCGUUGUGGAGUCAUCCUUGAGAUACCACUUUCUUCAUAUUGAGCUUCUAACCUAGAUCCGUUAUCCGGAUCAGGGACAUUGUCUGGUGGGCAGUUUCACUGGGGCGGUGGCCUCCUAAAAAGUAACGGAGGCGCUCUAAGGUCACCUCAGCGUGGACGGCAAUCACGCAUCGAGUGUAAGUGCAAAAGGUGGCUUGACUGUGACACAAACAAGUGGAGCAGGUACGAAAGUAGGAACUAGUGAUCCCAUGGUUGCAUGUGGGUGCGCCAUGGCUCAUCGGCUAAAAGGUACUCCGGGGAUAACAGGCUUAUACCCCCCAAGAGUCCAUAUCGACGGGGGUGUUUGGCACCUCGAUGUCGGCUCUUCUCAUCCUGGGGCUGGAGCAGGUCCCAAGGGUUAGGCUGUUCGCCUAUUAAAGAGGAACGCGAGCUGGGUUCAGAACGUCGUGAGACAGUUCGGUCCCUAUCCGUCGCGCACGCAAGAGUUUUGAAGAAAGUUGUCCCUAGUACGAGAGGACCGGGAUGAACGAACCGCUGGUGUGCCAGUUGUCCUGCCAAGGGCACGGCUGGUUAGCUACGUUCGGAAAGGAUAAGCGCUGAAAGCAUCUAAGUGCGAAGCCCCUUCUAAGAUAAGAACUCUCACCGGAUUAACCGGGUAAGACUCCUUAUAGAACAUGAGGUUGAUAGGUCAGAAGUGUAAGUACAGUAAUGUAUUCAGCUGACUGAUACUAAUAAGUCGAGGGCUUGAACUG